UUCUUCAUUUUUCUUCCAUUUUUCUCUCGUUACCGGCUUUGUAGGAGCACAAAUCUUUCUUGGUUAUUUUUUUCUCGAGAAAAUCUCACCACCGUUUUCUUUCUUGGUUGUUUACAAGACCAAAAAGUUAAAAUCCGACAGGAGAAUAUAUAUUGUAGUGAGACCCACCGCCGUUUUUUUUCUACCCAGAGACCCACCACGAGUUAAAUGGGGCAAUCAAGAGAUACUCAGUCGGACAACCGAUGCGAUAUAUGCGGUGAUGUUGGGUAUGAGGACCUAGUUAAUACCUGUUCUCGUUGCAACAUCCGACGCCAUUUCUAUUGCAUGAUGACCUUAGUGAGGAACAAGCAGGAAAACUGGAUAUGUGAAUUAUGUCUUCCGAAGAAUGAUAUAGGUUCUCUAAACUCUGGCUGGACAGAAAAUGUUUUGGUUUCUUCUAAGAAAGUUUCUUUCAACUUAGGGAGACGGGUCGCAUGUUAAAAGGCAAAAAGUUGUCG